rnacentral:lncRNA from 1 species
ACAUAUUUAUUUUCACUAAUUAAUGAGUUCAUUAACAAGUUUCAGUUACCUAGUUGUCCGACUUAUCACUAUGGUUAGCCCCUAUAUUGUGCCCCCUGACCAGAUAACUCACCUGCACACACUGCAUUUAUAUCGAGUUUGCAGCUUUUUUUUUUUAGUAACCUUUCUUUAUAAAAACAACGCUUUUUACAGUGUAGUCACUGCGACAUCCAUCCGUUUGCUCUUUCUAGGUCUGGCUGCGGCAGCUCCGAAAGAGUUCCAGCAAGAUCCAGUCCCCACGAAUCCCAGUGGCUCGUACACCGUCACGGCCCAGCCACUGCAGUGGGUCCCCACCUCCAUCCGUGACGAAGCGCAGCCGCAGGCGAACGUCGUUUACUUCCACAACGUGGAACGGCACGGCAUUGCAACUCAGCCCGUAGUGGCGACAGUGCCAGUCGUGGCGGUGCAGCCGGAACGACCGCACGUCACACCGCCGUGGCUUGCUGGUUUGGGUCAAGGGGCGGCAUUUUUGCUGCAAAUCGGGCAACAUCGGGUCCUCGUGGAUCCGUCUGUCGCGGCGAAGCCAUCUUGACACGCACCCCCCGCCGUCUGCGACGGACAACGGCCGCAAAAAGACGUAAUCGAGUUCCGCGAGGUCGAACAGUUGUAGCAGCAAGUUGUUGUGACAUAGUUGUUUUGACAAAGUUGUUGUGGCACAGUUUUUGUGGCCUCGUUGCAGCACAGUGUUUGGUGCUGUUGCGACACUUCGAAACGGAUCGUCGUCCUGCUGGCACAUUCGGAUGGUUCAGGAAGCCGUGGGUCCACAAGACGGUAAAAGCCAGCGUGUGCAGUUCUACGAGUUCUUCAUUGGUGGCUUAGACUAUGGUACGACUACUCAAGGGUGACUUUGGGUGGCAAGGAGAGUGUGCAGUGAUGCAGCUGUGGAACCGGCUACAGGUGUGGGGUCAAAGGACACGACCAGUCGAGAUGUGGGUCGUACGGAGGUGGCGGUACGGUGCUCGGAACACUUCCUCAACCGGUGUUUACGGCCUCCUCGAAUGUGGUCCGUUGGGAACCUGUCACGGUGUUGCCAGUGUGUGAUCCUGGUGGUGUCGUGGCAGUGGUGGUGCAUGUUUGCAGAUGCAGGUUCUGCUGUAGGUUGCUCUCUAGCUGGACAGUCCAAGCAAGCCUCCACAACCUGGAGUUGGGUCGCCACAACAUCUCGACGUGUGACACGACGUCUUCCGCAUUGUCGUUUGUCGUCACUUCGGAACUGGCUUGCGAUGUAUGGGCGGGAUGGGACGCCGAAGGCACCGGACAGCGACUCGUUCCAGGCACCCUAGUGGCAGCUCGGGAGGUGCCUACUGCAAACGAGUGGAAGGUCGCACUACGAGAGACUAGGUUUCCAACGUCUGCUUUUGCCGAACCUUAAAUAUGGCGAAGGAGAUCCAGUGCUUGUGAACGAACGGUCAAAGUAAUGGCGCACGCACGUGAGAAACGGUGUGCCAAGACCGUUGCGAUGUUUUGUUGCAGUCUCAAUCUUGUCUCCCUUGGCAGUGGAUGUAAGCCUGCGCCAAUAGAUGUGGGCUUCGGUGAUACUGUCUGUUGAAAGUUGGCAAGGCCCAUAUUGACACCGUCUAGGCGAGGCACGGCCGAAGAACUCUGGGCAUGCGCGAGCGACUACAUCACAACGGAAGGAUUGUGCGGGGUAUGCCGUAUCAUCUUGGUGCAGACUCUUGAUCCCACAUUGAUUAUUGUUCCAGUGGCCCGCAUUGUGGCGCCUGUGGUCGCAUUCGGUGCCCAUCGUGGUUUCACUUUACGCACGUGUGCGCACAAAUAGGUUGGCGUUCGAGUGUGGCACGCUCGAGCUUGUCGGAACUCUUUUUCACGUUCAUCGAUCGUACAAGCAUUAUUACCAUUUUGUGAAUUCAAAAAACGCGGAAGUCGUAAGUUCAUUGAGCAGUCGAGCCAAUUUAUUGGUAGUGCUGCAAAGAGUUUGUCGUGCAUGGAAGAGGGAUUUCUCCGGUUUACAUAUUAGCAAGAAGUCCCUAGUCUCGUUGAGAAAAUGUUUUUAUUUGUUUUCAAUUUAGACCUGUUAAGUGCUCUGGUUCUUCACUUUUUCUGCCUCGUGUUUUAAAGGUGAAUAAAGCUCGAAGACGUUGAACAGCA